rnacentral:misc_RNA from 1 species
UUUCUUGCUGCCCUCGGUGCCCCCAUUUUUCAUUGAUGAAAUGUUGAAGUGAUUCGUGAUGAUGUUAACCUCGGCCAUCCAUGCUGGUCGGUUUCGGUUAAAGGUUGCUUUCUCAAGCCUGGUGUUGUUAAUGCCCCCUCUCCCCAGGUCUUCUCCUAUAUUGAUGGGGUCCAGCAACCCGUGAGCGAUGGUGACAGGGGAUCCUGGUGCGGGCUGCGGAUGCACCCGGGCAGAUCCGGCGUCGUGAACGCGGACUGGUUGAAUAGGAACCGGCUGCUUGUGUGCCGCCGCCUUCAAGGUCUCCAGGAUCUCCUUGUAACGGCGUGUAUUUCACUGCCCUGUGAUUCCCUGUCAGGACUGGGUGGUGAAUGUCCUGGCAAAAGCAAGGUUCAUAUGAGGGUGGUCCCUGCAGGUGAUCUCUGCCCUGGCCAGUGCCGUCAGUUCCGAGAUGGUCCACCGCGCGUUGAACUCUGCUGGUGGAGGAGAGUUUGCAAUGCCGACGUAGGUGUGACCUCUCCGAUGACGGAUUCAGCAGAGGGAGCAGGAACGAUGACAGUUGGCGGGGUGUCUGGGCCUUGCUUCUGGUGUAGGGGGGAUAUCUCGGGGCGGUGACCGGGGUUGGAGAAUGAUGUAUGGACCUCUCGCUUCACCGCUGUGGUCUUGGUGUGGUGAGGGGUGAUGAGGGUAUGUCCGUCUGCAGGCCGGAGGAAUCUUGCACUGAUGGCAGUGGUCCCCCUGGAGUGGCAGUGGGGGGCUCACCAUGUGCAGGAACCCUGGAGUCCGGCCGAGGUAACCUGCGCCGCAGCUGUUCUUGCUAUAGCAAGUCUCUAUACAACUUCCGCCCCCUGAUGCCCUUGAUGGUUUGCCAAGGUACCCGUGCGUACCCCUUGGCGAGUUUUUUGUUGACAAACUUCAUCUUGGCGGGCAUCGACAAUUCUUAAACCGCCAAAGUCCUGACGUCCUCCGUGGUCCUGUCACCUGCUGGUGGGAGACGCAAGGCAGGGGUGCUGGUCGUGAAGGGCAUCGACAUGUCUGCCCUCUCGGAGUCCUGGGAGAACUCUGGGUGCUCCUUCUCCUCGGUGUGACUUGCAGGGGAAGGAGUGGGAGCCUGCGGAAGCUCGUUGUUGGCUGCACUGUGCGAGUCGGCGUUCGUCACUACGGUUGAAGCGGGCGAUACUAAUGGUUUCUUCCGACACCUUGUGUAAUGAGACGAGAUGGAGGUGCUCUCGGUAUACGUUUUUGCGAGGCAAUUGGAGCACCUCCAUAAGAAGUGACAACUAUGAACAUGUUCGUAGUGCUCCCCCAGAGAGAUGCAGGAAGUUAGUCGUUUGUCGCACAGGUGGCAGACAAUCUCCUCUGGGGGAUACAGCCUCUCAGUGGUUGCUAACGCGCUAGGUGAUGGAUGAGUCCCUGACAUGCUGAAAUGAAUAAGGGGAAAAAAAUUGAAACACUAUUCCCCCAGCUGCUUGCGGCAUAGGGGAUUUGUAAUUAAGGAUAGGCUGUGAGGCCGAGAGGGAGUGCCUGGUAAUGUGGCCUGUGUUACAGGCCACAGAGACUUGCUCAAAAGGUACAAAUUUCCCCAGAGCACUAGACUAUACUAGCCCUGCAGACUACGCCACUACGUGUAGUAAAAACCAGCUAGUGGUACCCCGCGUAGCCCCAAAGCGUAGAUCCGAUCCACAAAGCUGCAUGCCGAAGCACAAAAAAAAAGAAAGAAAAGAGCUAAGUUUAUCACGCCAAAAUGCCGAAUGGCGCUCGAUUACAAACGAAAAACCCCUCAAAUGUUGCUAAAAGAGAGAGAAAAAAAAAGUGAAAAGACUUUUCUCUGCUGCUAGUAUAAAAGAGGGGGUGAAAUCCACGGGUGGAACGUACCGCCCUCUGUCGAUGGCUGGCGCAACUAAACAAAGUUGCAUACGCUCCCAGUUAGCGUGCAAAAUUCGAACUGGAAGCUGGCAGAGCUGCCACAAAAAAAAAAAAGAACGAUGGCAGUGGGACCAGAGACUUUUGUGCGUGGUUCGACGCACGGAGACUGAAAAAAAAAAACGUUUAGUGUAGGAACCAGCGGUCCACUAGCACCUAGCACUAACUCCAGCAGCCAAAAAGCGAGCGACCGUUACGGGGUGAAGAAGGCCUCAGCGGCCGGCUGCUCACACAAUUGGAGAGGUGCUGAAACUGUGCUCUGUGGACCUGAGAACCUUCCAAGAGCAGCGGGGGGUAGCGGGUGGUGCCCGGGAACACGCGGUAGUCUCGGAGGCGUGCAGACCCGGCCGAAGGCGCGACCACCGGGAACUCGGCACGCUAACCAAGCGCGGCCGAAGCGAAGCUGACUUUCUGUUUACCCGCAAGAGGCAUCAGGCUGAUCUUCGGCAUCAAGUCUGGAAGUCCUUAUCCUCUCCAAGGGAGAGGGACCCACCAAUAGCCCCAUGGCAACACACAACCGCCGGGGCGCUUUAUCGUCCGUGCACCACGGAGGUCAUCUGCUGAUGCCGACGAAAGCACCUGACCCCCCCUGAAGACAAAGUAUAGUCAAUAUCUUAAUAUACUGUCUACCAAACCCAAGAUUGGUAAGAGCUGAAGCACUUUUUGGCGACCAAACACGUGAUAUAUAUGUGAUAUGUAGUCAAACUAGUCACAACCGGUGCAACACUAUUGGCCCCUUUAAUAACAUCCAGAAGCUCUGGAACACUAUACUUCUACACCUUCUGCUCAUGUGCGGCAUCUGGGGUGGAAUACAUACCCACCACCUGUGCAUCAACCACAGUCAUCUAACCACCUCUUGCAUUAACGAGAUCUGGCACAUAUAUCUGUGUUGCGGUGUGGCACUCAGGUUUUACCAGCACCUCCCAUCCCUUUUCUUUCAG